UGCGUAGGCGGGUCUUUAAGUCAGGGGUGAAAUCCUGGAGCUCAACUCCAGAACUGCCUUUGAUACUGAGGAUCUUGAGUUCGGGAGAGGUGAGUGGAACUGCGAGUGUAGAGGUGAAAUUCGUAGAUAUUCGCAAGAACACCAGUGGCGAAGGCGGCUCACUGGCCCGAUACUGACGCUGAGGCACGAAAGCUGGGGGAGCAAACA
rnacentral:rRNA from 1 species